rnacentral:lncRNA from 1 species
GUGGGGGCGAGGGGCUGCCUGGGAGCUCCUGGGAAGAAUUAAAGGCGGAACAAUGUUCCGUCUCCGGAGGGAUCUGUACUUGGAAAGAGAACUCAGAGAGCACGUGGUGGCCGGCCCCAUCUGCAGACCCAAAACUAGAGAGUCCACGUUUGCGAACCCAUCUGCACUUUCGACUUUCCCUGAUCACUACGUGUCUGGCUGCUCUCAGACUGCGAUGACAUCAUUUAAAAAAAAUGUAAAUAACUGUCCUUUGGGUCUUUCAAGAACCUAGUGAUUGAGGAGAGGGCAACGGUGAAUCUCGAGGAAGGCUGUGUCGUGGGACCUUCAGGCAUUGUUUAAUCUGUGCAGGGCGCAGUCU